rnacentral:rRNA from 1 species
AGUGAACGCUGGCGGCGUGCUUAAUACGUGCAAGUCGAACGAUGAAGUCCUAGCUUGCUAGGAUGGAUUAGUGGCGCACGGGUGAGUAAUAUAUAGUUAAUCUGCCUUGCACUGAGGAACAACAGUUGGAAACGAUUGCUAAUACCUCAUACUCCAACUUUACAUAAGUUAAGUUGGGAAAGUCUUUUCGGUGCAAGAUGAGACUAUAUCGUAUCAGCUAGUUGGUAAGGUAAUGGCUUACCAAGGCUAUGACGCGUAACUGGUCUGAGAGGAUGAUCAGUCACAUUGGAACUGAGACACGGUCCAAACUCCUACGGGAGGCAGCAGUAAGGAAUAUUGUGCAAUGGGGGAAACCCUGACGCAGCAACGCCGCGUGGAGGAUGACACUUUUCGGAGCGUAAACUCCUUUUGUUAGGGAAGAAUAAUGACGGUACCUAACGAAUAAGCACCGGCUAACUCCGUG